rnacentral:rRNA from 1 species
GCCUCAGUAACGGCGAGUGAAGCGGCAACAGCUCAAAUUUGAAAUCUGGCUUCGGUCCGAGUUGUAAUUUGUAGAGGAUGCUUCGGCUUACGUACCGGUCUAAGUUCCUUGGAACAGGACGUCACAGAGGGUGAGAAUCCCGUUUGUGGCCGGCACUUCCGCCAUGUGAAGCUCCUUCGACGAGUCGAGUUGUUUGGGAAUGCAGCUCUAAAUGGGAGGUAAAUUUCUUCUAAAGCUAAAUACCGGCCAGAGACCGAUAGCGCACAAGUAGAGUGAUCGAAAGAUGAAAAGCACUUUGGAAAGAGAGUUAAAAAGUACGUGAAAUUGUUGAAAGGGAAGCGCUUGCGACCAGACUUGCCUGCGGAUGCUCAACCGGUCCUUCGGCCGGUGCACUCUUCCGCGGUCAGGCCAGCAUCAGUUCGGGCGGUCGGAUAAAGGCCUUGGGAAUGUGGCUCUCUUCGGGGAGUGUUAUAGCCCUUGGUGCAAUACGGCCCGCCUGGACUGAGGCCCGCGCUUCGGCUAGGAUGCUGGCGUAAUGGUCGUAAGCGGCCCGUCUUGAAACACGGACCAAGGAGUCUAACAUCUAUGCGAGUGUUUGGGUGUCAAACCCGUGCGCGAAAUGAAAGUGAACGGAGGUGGGAACCUUAGGGUGCACCAUCGACCGAUCCUGAUGUCUUCGGAUGGAUUUGAGUAAGAGCAUAGCUGUUGGGACCCGAAAGAUGGUGAACUAUGCCUG